rnacentral:lncRNA from 1 species
AUUUUUAACAAGAACUAUCUUUAAAAAAGAUAUCCGACGUAUUUAAAUUUAAGUAUAUGUUUAAAACUAUCAUUUCAAUAACCUUCAGAAGCACAAAGAUACCAUUUAAACAACGUUUUCUCUGUUUGUGUUCAGUAUUCUCGGUCCUCGUAUCUUUAUUUACAUUCACCAAAACCCCGCGGAAAUCUCACUUGCGUAGGUGCGUUCUAAAAGUCAUGUACGUUCGUACAACAAAGUUUACAUUAAAAAUUAUAUAAUUGUCCCGAAUAAACAGCUGUCACGGAUGCAAAGAGC